rnacentral:lncRNA from 1 species
UCCCUUUCUCACAGGUGCUUCAUGCUGCUCUUGGAAGGACCCUGGUUCAGCACAAAGUGCUCGAGCCUCUGUGGUGAUGCACAGUAGAUUGAAGGUGAAGGAAAAAAAAAGCUCUUUGCUGGAGCUUUUCCUCUCCUCUGAGGUAAGUGACCUUGUCACCACCACCAACCUCUGCCCCGGUUGCACCACCUGUACCACAGCCAAUUAUCUGAGCUGAAACUGGGGACUAAUGCCUGGCUGUUUAAUUUGGAAGAGCAAUAGGAAGGUCACUGGGAAAGGUAAUGCAGUCCCAAUGAUUGAACAUGUGGAUGAGGGCACCACAAAAAUAUAAUCUACUUUGCUGAGGAUGUGAUAAACCAGGUUUAUAUAUGUGGUUGGCAAGCAGUACUUCUGGGCCUUACUUCAUCAGAUAAUCCAGAUAGCAGAGCAACUGUGUAUCUCUCUGGUCCCUUAAUAUGACAUUAAAUCUAAGGAUUAGGUUAUUUUCACAUUUGUAGGGUUUUCUAAAACAGAAUUAGAAGUAACUCCUAUGUAUUUCCUAGCUGUCUUCCUCUUUAUGUGUGUGUGUGAGGGGAGUUGUUUCUAUGAAAUAAUACUUAUUUCUGCAAUCAGGCAAAGAUAAUCUAAGGGAAAGAUUUCUCAUAUUCCAAAAGACAAAACCUUAGCAGAAAAAUCUGAAUGCAGACAUUUGACUGCAGGGCCAUCCAUGUUUCCCCCGACAUGCUCUUUUGUCAUUCAGAAUAAGAAGCCCAGAAAUCCCAGAUGGCGGUGGUGUUUGCGGACAGUCAAAGGGCAGCGUCACUGCAUGUAUGCAUGUAGCUGAGGUGUCCCCCAGGCGAGGCUCACUGCAUGCAUGAGGCCUGGGUGGGCUGUGGGUGUGCAGUGACUCUGCCACGUGGGCCUGCCCAGCGCAGCCACCACAUCACGCACCAGGAAGUCUGCGCCUCUUUGCAGGAGUCCCGCCCAAUGCUGAUUAUGAUCUGUCUGAAAUCUCUCCAAAUUCCUGAACAACCUCCUGCUGUUAACACCACUACCAAAGUUGGGCCCUAGAGUCUACUGGGUCACCCAGAAUGAAGAGUCCACCGCUGACGUGACAGUUAAUGCCACUUACUUUCCCUCCAGGAAAUGUGGGGCAGUGCACUGAGUUCAACCUCUCAUUCUUGCUAUGAGAUACUCUUUUCUUUCCCUACAGAGAAGUCAAAGCAGGGAAGGACUCUUAUUUGUUGUGUGGGAAUGGGACCAUAUGUGGCCUAAAAUCUGAAAGGGAACUGAGGGAGCGAUAACAUUGCAAGCACAGACUCUGGUCCUAUUCCUAUCCCAUGCUGGCAAGUUACUGGGGCAGGGAUACUUUAUGGAAAUUAGGUAAAUGGCCAAGAUGUCCUCCCUUUGCCAAUGCAAUACUAGCAUGCUGUGGCCCUGCUCAUAGAAAUAUCUUUGGACAAUGCUUUCUACAAACACGGAUCUGAUACAAGUGUGACUGGGCCUAAAUAGUCCCAUGAAGUCCUGUGCACUACACUGGCACCUAGAGAGAUUAAUAGUCUCUGGAUAAUGAAUUGAUAGAAAAAUGGACAGUAUACAUAUAGAUAGAUUUAAGAUAGAAAUGUAAGAUGCAACACAAAUAUAAGCCUUUUCUCUUCAUUUUUCUCCUGUUUUAUACCAAGCUGUGUUGAGAUUGGUCCUCUUUUAAAUAUUUUUACGAAUAAUGAAAUAACUGAUGCAUUGUAAUCCCAAUGGAGGCCUUACCAUUUUACCCUGAGGCAUUACUCUGCUAUUUAAGGCUCUGAAAGAAUGCAGUUUAAUAGAAUGAGAAGAUCAGAAAGCUUUGUCAUUGUCCUUACUUGAUGUCUGAGUCCUCCAGGAUCUGCUCAAAUGCCCUGAGAUAUCUGCUUAGUUCUUUUAAGCAUUAUUCCAGUGCUGUAAGAGAAGACUCUUGAGCUGGGACCAUGCUUCAGGGUAAUCACUCCAUUGCCUAGGGAUUUGGGGGAAGUUUAAGGCAUCCUUGUGCCUGAGGAUUUCAGGCACUACGAGGUACCAGAGAAGGCUCUGGCAUACAUUAGAGUAGUUCCACAGCCCAAAUCAUCCCCACAGCUUCCAGAACAGCAUACGGUACAGAGCUUUUUCUUCUCUUAGUGCUUUUCCUUUCAUCUCUGGACUUAAUAAAGCAUCAGUCUUGGAGCGUGUAGCA